ACACCGCCGAUGACAGCUAUGUCCGAGUGACAUCCUCCCA
rnacentral:antisense_RNA from 1 species